rnacentral:lncRNA from 1 species
CCACCCCCACCUUCUUUUACAAGCACAACACCCCUAAACCCACCUCGUACAGAGCCACAAAGCCCCCGCAUGGCCCCCCCCAUGCCAACACACAUAUUCACCCCUCCUGCCGCACUCGGGGCACUCGGCACCCCCCAACCCUUCUGCAAAUCCUGCAGCCCCUCUGUACCCCGACACCUGCAGCAGGAUGGCAGGGAGGGGGGGCAGAUCCCACUCACCUCCACCCACCGGGAUGGCUGCAACCCCUGUGCUCNNNNNNNNNNNNNNNNNNNNNNNNNNNNNNNNNNNNNNNNNNNNNNNNNNCCCCCCCCCGUGCAAAGCAACAGGGUCUCCUGGUGUGCAGUGAGGGACACGCUGGGACUGUCCCAGGGACAGAGGGACACUUGAGGAGCAGAGGGAAGGGGUGACCAGUCCCUCCUGCUUGGCCUUGGCGCCCGCGGGCAGCCGUGCUGGCAGCUGCAGCCCACCCGCGGAUCCAACCUGUCUCCGGCCACCCACCUCCCGAGCCCAGUCUGGGUCAUCGCCGCCAUCCCGUCCCUGCCUCAGAGCUGCUGAGGACGAGCCACUCCGAUCUGCUCCCCAUGGCGGAGAAGGACUCGCCGGAAGGACGGAUCGCCGAGCUGCUCUGGCAGGGAAAAGGACGAGCAAUGACAGCUCCCUGCUGAGCAGGACUGGAUGGGGCAGCUUCGCAGGCUCACUUGGCUUUGCCUGCGGGAAUGAGCUGAGGACAAGGAGGAGGGCUGGUGCCCCAGCAGGGAGGAGGGAUUGUCACCCUGAUCUCCUGGUGACACUUGGUCAACUCAUUGCAUCCGGUCUCUGCACACCCCUUCCAGCUGCCUGGGCUGGACUGGAGCUGCCCGGAUGGAGACGGCUGUCCUGUGAGCCACACGUCCCCAGGCACUCGGCAGGGGCAGGGCACACCAUGGAUGUGCAGGGGACAAGUGUGGCAGCUCAGGGCCAUUUGUGGGGUGGAGGUAGUUGGAUGACAGCAGUGGGAUGGUGGAUGGCACCGUAGCACAGUGCACAGGAGGGAAACUGAGGCACGGUGGCUGCAGGGGCUGCGCCAGGGGGUGGGUGGGAGGCUCUGCCCGGCUCUCCGGAGGGCAGUGCCCGGGUGGAGCGGGUACAGUGCUUCCCGGGAGGGCCGCAGAGCCGAUGGCAGUGAAGAUAAUGCUAAAAAUACACCAGCUGCUUUGUUGCUGGUGACAAUAGCCUGCAGUAUUUUUAGCUGUUGUGGCGUUAGCGGCAGAACAGCUUCUCUGGUCCGCUGCUGCCCCAUCCCACCCUUGGUGCCGCCGGGCUCCCGCGGUCCCCCGGGGCUGCUUCCCGGUGCUGUGGAAACUGUAACGUUAGAAACUAAACAAAAACACCUCACCCGCUGCCACCCCCGGCUGAGUCACGGCACUGCCUGCUCCCCUCGCCCCUGCCUCCCCCUCCCUCCCUUCCCACCUCCGUCCCCAAAAGCAGUAGCUGAUGUCCCCUGAGCCAGUCCUGCUCCCGCUUACGGGGGGAUUGCCUCUUCCAGGGCCAGGCUCGGGGUUGGCUUCACUUUCCCCCAUCCCGGGACUCCAGUAGCUGGGGAUUUAUGGAGCAAACUCUGCAGGGUGGCAUCGCUGUCCCUAACCCCAUGACACUGGGAUGUCCUCUUGCUUCCCCACAGCAGAAAGGUUGACUCUGAGCUGUGUCCAGCUUGUCAGCACGGCCCCAGCCCUCGCCCCCAGACCUGCCAGCGGCUGCAGCUCCGGCACAGCCCCUGCCCACUGCCAGGGAUUAAAAUAGCUGGGCAGGAGCAGGCAGAGGCAGAAAUAGUCGCUUUGCACCCCAUGGUGAGGGCCAGGCUGGAGUGCUGUGCCCAGCCCCCUCAUCCCAUCGGAGGGGAAUGGGGUGUAUAAGCAAGGGAAAAGGGUUUUGGGGUAACAGCAGUGGUGGGGUAUGGGAAAUCAAGGCAGCUCUGCUCUGCCCUCGAGAGAAGUGUCAGCACCGAGCGCCUGCCAGAGCCAGCACAUCACUGCCCUCAUCCUGCCUCGUGGGGGAAUAAGUGAUGAGUGAGACCCCAUCCCACCUCCCAGGGGUGAUGAGGUGUCCCAGCACAGCACCACCGCUGUGCUGCCCCAGCCCCCACGGGGUUUUUGGGAUGGAUUUUGGGGAGCUGGCAGGCUGCCAUAGGGCAAGCAGGGGCUGUAGCCCCAUGACCAGGGGACAUGCACACCAGGAUGGCUGCCCACCCUCCACCACCCACAUCUUAAAGCCCCUGGCACCCACUGGAAUCCUGCCCGGUGGGAAGCAGCAAUUUGUGUUCAAGGGCCAGGAGAGUAGCUGCACUGUCUCCUCCUUAAAAUAAGGCAGCGGCCAGCAGCCGCGCUGGGGCGGGCGGCCGCGGCUGUGACUAUGUUAGGAUGUUCUGGGGCUGAGGGUAGAUCACGUCGCGGGUACGAAUUAAUUAACGCUAAGCAGUUUUGGAUGGCAUCCCAGGCUUUUUUUUUUUUUCUAUUUUCAUUUUAGCCAACUCCAAGUCCACUGGCAUCUGCCAGGUCCUGGGUCUGGCGGGGACGGGGGGGCAGGAGCACCCACGUAGCUGCCCCAGUGCCUGUGGGUGCUGGGGUGUCAUCGCGGGGACUCUGCUGGCUUGAUGCCUCCCUGCUCCCCAAACGUGAGUGCUCCUGCUGACCCCAGGGUUCUCUGGCUUUGGGGGCCAGUGCAGACGAAGAUAGCUUUGGGGGCUCAAUGUAGACCCAACUUUUCAGCUAUGUUUUUUUUUUAACUCCCCACCCUGCCUGCAAGAGGCUCACACACAUACUUCAUGCCUGGCUUGCAGCCCUGAAAAUUAUCUUGGAAAGGAAAUUUUAAAUAAAAGUUGUAAACGCCCUCA